UGAGUAACGCGUAUCCAACCUGCCCACCACUUGGGGAUAACCUUGCGAAAGUAAGACUAAUACCCAAUGAUAUCUCUAGAAGACAUCUGAAAGGGAUUAAAGAUUUAUCGGUGAUGGAUGGGGAUGCGUCUGAUUAGCUUGUUGGCGGGGUAACGGCCCACCAAGGCAACGAUCAGUAGGGGUUCUGAGAGGAAGGUCCCCCACAUUGGAACUGAGACACGGUCCAAACUCCUACGGGAGGCAGCAGUGAGGAAUAUUGGUCAAUGGGCGAGAGCCUGAACCAGCCAAGUAGCGUGCAGGACGACGGCCCUAUGGGUUGUAAACUGCUUUUAUAAGGGAAUAAAGUGAGUCUCGUGAGACUUUUUGCAUGUACCUUAUGAAUAAGGACCGGCUAAUUCCGUG
rnacentral:rRNA from 1 species